rnacentral:lncRNA from 1 species
CUUUGUUUAGCAUAUAAUCAAGAAAUAAUCACAAAAAUGGGUAACGAGUAGCCCUGGGGCUGCUCUGCCUAUGGAGUAGCCAUUCUUUUAUUUCUUUGCUUUCUUAAUAAACUUGCUUUCACUUUAUGGGCUUGCCCUGAAUUCUUUCUUGCAUGAGAUCCAAGAACCCUCUCUUAGGGCCUGGAUCGGGACACCAGGAGACACCCUGGAUGGGUUUCCUGAAUCGACAGAUGAGCCUUCCACGCGGGGAGACCUGGAUUCUUAUUGUUUUUGUGGCUCCUUCCGUCUGCACGUGCGGACGGGGCCCCGGUCGCACUCGGGUGGUCAGCCUGGCACCCACAGCGCCGGCGUGUAGGGGGCCUUGGGUGCCACCGAGUCCGGGAGGAAAUCUAGGCCACCAUCUGUCCGGAGACUGGCACAUGUGACCACCCACCCAACAUGUAUUGAAUAACGGCUUGGAGGUCCUUUCUCUAAGACUGCACCGAUAAACGAUUACCAACUGUCAACCUCACGGCCCCUUCGCUUCCGGCCGCAUUGCCGCGCUGCCUACGCCUGCGCACUCAGGGGCUGCAGGCAGGAGGAACGUACCAACUGCGGGGCGGGGGGUGCGCGCGGAGACCCCCGCGAGCUGCGUUCCCGGAAGUAACCCCUGGUGCAUCCUGGAAUCCAGAGCGCCCACUACGGCCUUUGGCCAGGCCCCUGGAUGCGUUCCAGGAGCUCAGGCCUGCGGCGUUUGGAGAAGCACGUUGGCCAACCCGUCGGGUGGUGGGCAAUGGGCCCAGGGGUCAGGGGCCGGUAAACGGCUGGCGGCGGGUCUGCGGCUCUUACCUGCCGAGGAGGCGCCGGCUCUGCGGUGCGGAGUUGCGCCGCACUUCCCAGCUUGGCCAGUGGCUCCGCGGGCUGCCGGCUCCACCCCUCAGGGUGGGGUUCUACUUCUCUUGCAGGCACAAGAGAAGUAGAAGAGUGGCCCCUUUCCUUCUGGACACGCACUUGGGAAAAGGCCUGAUUCAUUUGGAUUGA